rnacentral:rRNA from 1 species
AUUGAACGCUGGCGGCAGGCCUAACACAUGCAAGUCGAGCGGAUGAAGGUAGCUUGCUCCUGGAUUCAGCGGCGGACGGGUGAGUAAUGCCUAGGAAUCUGCCUGGUAGUGGGGGAUAACGUCCGGAAACGGGCGCUAAUACCGCAUACGUCCUGAGGGAGCACGUGGGGGGUCUUCGGACCCCACGCUAUCAGAUGAGCCUAGGUCGGAUUAGCUAGUCGGUGGGGUAAAGGCCUACCAAGGCGACGAUCCGUAACUGGACUGAGAGGAUGAUCAGUCACACUGGAACUAAGACACGGUCCAGACUGCUACGGGAAGCAGCAGUGGGGAAUAUUGGACAAUGGGCAGAAGACUGAUCGAGACAUGCCGCGUGUGUAAAGAAGGUCUUCGGAUUGUAGCACUUUAAGUUGGGAGGAAGGGCAGUAAGUUAAUACCUUGCUGUUUUGACGUUACCAACAGAAUAAGCACCGGCUAACUUCGUG